AGCUCGUAGUUGGAUUUCUGGUUCGGCGUUCCUGGUCCUCGGCCACUAGAUGGCCGUGAGUACCGGUUGUGACGCUAGCCAUCCUUCGGGAGAGCGCGCGGUGCUUAACGGCGCUGCGCGCCAUCUCGAUCCUUUACUUUGAACAAAUUAGAGUGUUUAAAGCAGGCUAAUGCCUUGAAUACCUUAGCAUGGAAUAAUAAGAUAGGACUUUUGGCCUAUUUUGUUGGUCUUUAGGACAAGAGUAAUGAUUGAUAGGGACAGUUGGGGGUGCUAGUAUUGAAUGGCCAGAGGUGAAAUUCUUGGAUUCAUUCAAGACUAACUAAUGCGAAAGCAUUCUCCAAGGAUGUCUUCUUUAAUCAAGAACGAAAGUUGGGGGAUCGAUGACGAUCAGAUACCGUCGUAGUCUCAACCAUAAACUAUACCGACUAGGGAUGAGUGGACGUUGUUUUUUACUGACUCCAUUCGCACCUUAUGAGAAAUCAAAGUCUUUGGGUUCCGGGGGGAGUAUGGUCGCAAGGCUGAAACUUAAAGGAAUUGACGGAAGGGCACCACCAGGAGUGGAGCCUGCGGCUUAAUUUGACUCAACACGGGAAAACUUACCAGGUCCGGACAUAGCAAGGAUUGACAGAUUGAAGAUCAUUCUCGAUUCUGAGGGUGGUGGUGCAAGGGCGAAUUCCACAGUGGAUAUCAAG
rnacentral:rRNA from 1 species